rnacentral:rRNA from 1 species
GUUGAACGCUGGCGGCAGGCCUAACACAUGCAAGUCGAACGAGUAGCGGACUGGUGAGUAAUGUCUGGGAAACUGCCUGAUGGAGGGGUAUAACUACUGGAAACGGUAGCUAACACCGCUUACCAUCGUAUGUGCCCUGAUGGGAUUAGCUAGUAGGGGGGGUAAAGGCUCACCUAGGCGACGCUCCCUAGCUGGUCUGAGAGGAUGACCAGCCACACUGGAACUGAGACACGGUCCAGACUCCUACGGGAGGCAGCAGUGGGGAAUAUUGCACAAUGGGCGCAAGCCUGAUGCAGCCAUGCCGCGUGUAUGAAGAAGGCCUUCGGGUUGUAAAGUACUUUCAGCGGGGAGGCGUUACCCGCAGAAGAAGCACCGGCUAACUCCGUGCCAGCAGCCGCGGUAAUUC